UCAAAGUUUUCCAUUGCAUUUUACAGAACCUGUGUAACAAAAACCCCAAACCAAUAGCUUACAUCCCUCGAGCAGUCUUUCUGCCGACCAGUUUCCCAUGCAUGUUAUCAGGAGAUCAGAUGGUGAGAAAUAAUAAUAUCUAGGUGUAACAAUGCAAGUAGAUGUUUUCCCAAGCCAUCCUGUUUUUAAAGCUGAGGAAUACUAAACCUACGCAAGAACCCACGAUAACUGGUCACUUCUUACAGAAUGUUCUAGUAUAGCCAGGGGGAAGAGAUCAAGGGUAAAACUUCUUUAAAAGACAGAACAGUUCUGGAGCAAGUUCCAAGGAGGUCAGCCCUGGGCUGUACUUUUCACGUGAUCAUGUGAAUGGAGGCAGCUGUGUAACCAGCACUGAUGACAGCGGGAACCAAAACAUUUAUACAAAAGUAUAAAUAAUGAAAAUCUUAUCUUUUUUCUCCAAAC